UGCAGCAACGCCGCGUGCGGGAUGACGGCCUUCGGGUUGUAAACCGCUUUUAGUAAGGAAGAAGGGGAGCUUGCUCCUUGACGGUACUUGCAGAAAAAGGACCGGCUAACUACGUGCCAGCAGCCGCGGUAAUACGUAGGGUCCGAGCGUUGUCCGGAAUUAUUGGGCGUAAAGAGCUCGUAGGCGGUUUGUCGCGUCUGCUGUGAAAUCUGGAGGCUCAACCUCCAGCCUGCAGUGGGUACGGGCAGACUAGAGUGCGGUAGGGGAGAAUGGAAUUCCUGGUGUAGCGGUGGAAUGCGCAGAUAUCAGGAGGAACACCGAUGGCGAAGGCAGUUCUCUGGGCCGUAACUGACGCUGAGGAGCGAAAGCGUGGGGAGCGAACAGGAUUAGAUACCCUGGUAGUCCACGCCGUAAACGUUGGGCGCUAGAUGUGGGGACCUUUCCACGGUUUCCGUGUCGUAGCUAACGCAUUAAGCGCCCCGCCUGGGGAGUACGGCCGCAAGGCUAAAACUCAAAGGAAUUGACGGGGGCCCGCACAAGCGGCGGAGCAUGCGGAUUAAUUCGAUGCAACGCGAAGAACCUUACCAAGGCUUGACAUGACCGAGAACGCCCUAGAAAUAGGGAACUC
rnacentral:rRNA from 1 species